CUGUGGUGAUGAGGGGCUUCCCCCGUGUGUGAGAGGGAACUCCCGCACGGGGCCGAGCCGCCAUGGCCGGGUACCCGCUCUGGGUACAGACGCGCUCGUUUCCAUUUAAAACGUACGAGAAGUUACAAUUCAAGAUUAGCCCGAAUGUCGGCGUCUUCCGUGUACACUACAGGUGAAACCAGAUAGUCCACUCUACUGGUUCUGUGGUUUGACACUGUCUGGAAUGACUGAACCAAGGACUGUGCUAAGCAAGAAGCAUAUCAGGUGUCUGAGCUAAAUGUUUUAUGGAUACAAACAAUAUCAUAAAAGGACAUGGAAAUACUGGGCAUGCAUGAAAGCUCCAGGGCUGGCGCCAGGGGAAUGUAACACUGCAUGAGUCUUGACUGCACAGCAAGAAGGCAAGUGUUUAUAGACUGUGCUGCUUUCUGAGGUUGGGAGCAACAGUUAUUAGGCUGUCAGAGGAGAGUCUUCAGGACUCAGGUCCUGGAACCAUCUGUGUAAUGUAUCAGUUUAUAUUAGCCUCAGUUUUCUACUUUUACAAUGAAGAAAAUAGCUCUAGAGGUGCUAGUAAAGGCAUUGGAGUUACAGCUGGAUUGCCAGUCUCACAGCACAGUUUACUUUUGUUUUCUGCAACGCUUACAAGGGCACUGGGGUGAGAGUAAU